CCAUGUCUUUUUAAGAAUGCCAAAGCAUUUCUCAAUUACAUUCCUUGCUGAUUAAUGUUUUAUGUUAAAAUAUUCCUCGACGGAUAUGAGUUGAUGUCCAUCUCUCCAAUCAUUCAAAUGAUAUCUUUGACCUCUAUAUGGUGCAAGAAAUCCCUCUCCAUUAGUAUAACAAUCCUCUUUUUCAUGAUAUUUUCCUUGUAGCUAAAUUAAAUCGAGCCAUUACUGCAUUUGGAGAGCCAAAAAAUAACUAAUUAUAACAUAAGCCAACUUCCAAACACUAGUAUAUUAUCAAGUCGUAUAAAAAGAAACACAAACAUAGGAGCAUGAAACUGAAAAAUGUUUUUGGAUAUCAUCGAACAAGACAUGUUACAGAAGCCAAAUGCACCACAAAAUUACUUACAAAAUGGACAUAGCCAUGUAAGCAACCAAAUACUGAGAAGGGCUGAUGGGACUCCCCAGCUUCAGAAGCCAAAUGAUUCAGGUUACAAUCUCCUAUCUAGAUUUUUUUGGUAGGCACAAGGCAUCCUUUAACUAUAAUGCACUCAGCUCAAUGAGCUCAUUGAAGUUUAAUCAAAUAUUUUCAUUUAAUGACCAAAAUAUUAAGUAUUUCAUAAAACAUUGCUUUCUAUUGGAUUAUGAUGAGAUUCAUGACAAUUCUGCGAAAUUAGAAAUUCUUUAUCAACAAAGAGCUAUGUUAACAGUUUAUGUAAGUUGAAUAAAUAUACAGAAUUGACUUAUUAUACAAUAGCCAUUAGCCAACAUCAAGGCCUUCACAACUGAAUCAACCUUUACCAGAACAAUGCAGAACAUCCUCUGAGAAGACAAGGUUCAUCCAGACUAGAUAUAUAACUUUUAUUUUCCGGGGCUUUUCUGUUUCAUCCAUAACAUGUUUGAAGAGAAAGAAACUUUUUAAGCUCAAGCAGAAAACUUUGAAAAACAUAAAGUAUCCCUAUUGAACAUAUCAUGACACUGGUAUGGCUAUGUGAUCUUUAUUUGACACAGACCUAGUGAUCUACACAAGCAUAUCCAAUAUAGGGGGACUAAAUUUAACCACCAGCAGGAUGGGAAAAAAAGAAGUUACAUACAUAAUGGAUAUAGCCAUGUAAACAACCAAAAAUUGCCAGAUUAUAAUAUACUAGUGUAUACUAGUAUAUAGCCAUGCCGCACAUGAUAUGUUUUGAACACUGUUUUUGGAUACAUUGAACUGAAAAAUGUUUUUGGAUAUCAUCGAACAUGACAUGUUAUAGAAGCCAAAUGCACCACAAAACAACAAUAUAAAAGCCUGGUUUGAUUAGUAGGGGAUAAGACCAGGCCCCUCCACACAGACAACAAAGAACAGCCACAUCAUGAUGAAUGAUUUAUAACAUACUUGAUUGAUAAUAUACUUCUUUUUCCAUUUUUUCUGUGCUUUGGGCCCUUUUUCAAGUUUUAGUCAGCAUUAUAACACACACAUGUAUAUAUAUAUAUAUAUAUAUAUAUAUAUAUAUAUAUAUAUAUAUAUCAAUCCAUUUGGAAGGGGGACACAAACAAGAAGUGAUCAAUUGAUAAAAUCGUAACAAGAAUUCAAGCUAGGAAACCAAACAAAAGGCAGGAACAGAUACUCACUUGCAUAUUGCGGGUUGUCUUACUGUGGGUUGCCGGUAGUAUUGUGUUUCAGAAACACAGGUAUUAUCAAAUGCUGUCCCUAAUAGGAAUACUCAAUAUUCAUCAUAUUGUUUAUCUGUAGCCCUGCCACUAUUUUCUUAGUAACAUGCGUGAGCAUUCAGCAACUUUUUCGUAGACUUGUACUUUUUUUCCCAAGUAUGUCUAGCCUUGAUUAAAUUGUAUACCACUUUCACCAAAUUCAGAGACUAUUUAUUCCAUCAAACUGAAAGACAUAAAUUUACAUUAUUUAUACGAAUUCUUUUCUCCAAAAACCUAAAGAUUAUCAACUAGCUAGGAAAGAAAGGUGUUUCUCAAAAUUUUAGACCAUUUCAUAUUGGGCAGAGGAAAGAAGCUUAUAAACAUGAUAUAACCAGAAAUCUUAGAAAGGCUUUUGUGCGUUCCUUAAUCUAAUCUUCAUAGCGUCAAUACAUCAAACAUGUGGUGCACAUAUAUCCAAAAUCAAAAUUGACUGAGCACCAAAAUGAGAUUUGAUUAAACACAAAUGGAGACAUGGGAGGCGAGCGAAGCCGUAGGGUGUAGGUUAUGGGAUCGAUCGAUCGGAGAGGAUAAAGUCGGGUGAAAAAUGAACGAAUCUGCACGGGAAUGAAAUAAACCCGGAAUGAUAAAUAACAUUUUAUUUUAAAUAUGAGAAUGGAAU
rnacentral:lncRNA from 1 species